AGAGUUUGAUCCUGGCUCAGAAUCAACGCUGGCGGCGUGCCUAACACAUGCAAGUCGAACGCGAAGACCCCCGCAAGGGGGUUUGUAGAGUGGCAAACGGGUGAGUAACACGUGGGUGACCUGCCUCAGAGUGGGGGAUAACGACCCGAAAGGGUCGCUAAUACCGCAUAACAUCCUGCGCUUGGAAGCGUGGAGAUCAAAGCCGGGGAUCGCAAGACCUGGCGCUUGGAGAGGGGCCCGCGGCCGAUUAGCUAGUUGGUGAGGUAACGGCUCACCAAGGCGACGAUCGGUAUCCGGCCUGAGAGGGCGGACGGACACACUGGGACUGAGACACGGCCCAGACUCCUACGGGAGGCAGCAGUGGGGAAUUGUUCGCAAUGGGCGAAAGCCUGACGACGCAACGCCGCGUGGAGGACGAAGACCUUCGGGUCGUAAACUCCUUUCGAUCGAGAAGAAUGUCUAUGGGGUUAAUAGCCCUGUAGAGUGACGGUAUCGAGAGAAGAAGCCCCGGGCUAACUCUGUGCCAGCAGCCGCGGUAAUACAGGGGGGGGCAAGCGUUGUUCGGAAUUACUGGGCGUAAAGGGCUCGUAGGCGGCCAACUAAGUCACACGUGAAAUCCCCAGGGCUUAACCUGGGNAACUGCCCUGUGAUACUUGGAUGGCUUGAAUUCGGGGAGAGGGAUUGCAGANUNCCNAGGUGGUAGCGGGUGAAAUGCG
rnacentral:rRNA from 1 species